AUCGAACGCUGGCGGCAGGCUUAACACAUGCAAGUCGAGCGAGCGGCGGACGGGUGUGUAAUGUCUGGGAAACUGCCUGAUGGAGGGGGAUAACUACUGGAAACGGUAGCUAAUACCGCAUACCAUCAGAUGUGCCCAUAUGGGAUUAGCUAGUAGGUGGGGUAAUGGCUCACCUAGGCGACGAUCCCUAGCUGGUGUGAGAGUAUGACCAGCCACACUGGAACUGAGACACGUCCCAGACUCGUACGGGAGGCAGCAGUGGGGAAUAUUGCACAAUGGGCGCACGCCUGAUGCAGCAAUGCCGCGUGUGUGAAGAAGGCCUUCGGGUUGGAAAGCACGUUCAGCGAGGAGGCGUUACUCGGAGAAGAAGCACCGGCUAACUCCGUGCCAGCAGCCGCGGUAAUAC
rnacentral:rRNA from 1 species